rnacentral:rRNA from 1 species
UACGUAGGGUGCGAGCGUUAAUCGGAAUUACUGGGCGUAAAGCGUGCGCAGGCGGUUCGUUGUGUCUGUGGUGAAAGCCCCGGGCUUAACCUGGGAAUGGCCAUGGAAACUGGCGAGCUGGAGUGUGGCAGAGGGGGGUGGAAUUCCGCGUGUAGCAGUGAAAUGCGUAGAGAUGCGGAGGAACACCGAUGGCGAAGGCAAUCCCCUGGACCUGUACUGACGCUCAUGCACGAAAGCGUGGGGAGCAAACAGG